rnacentral:rRNA from 1 species
UAGGCGACCGGGUGAGUAACACGUGACUAACCUACCCUCGAGUGUGGAAUAACAUCGGGAAACCGAUGCUAAUACCGCAUAAUAUCGCAAGAUUAAAGCAGCAAUGCGCUUGAGGAGGGGGUCGCGGCUGAUUAGCUAGUUGGCGGGGUAACGGCCCACCAAGGCGAUGAUCGGUAUCCGGCCUGAGAGGGCGCACGGACACACUGGAACUGAAACACGGUCCAG